UGUUAUGUGUGUUGUUUGAUUAC
rnacentral:snRNA from 1 species